rnacentral:rRNA from 1 species
AUAGCAUAUCAAUAAGCGGAGGAAAAGAAACCAACAGGGAUUGCCCUAGUAACGGCGAGUGAAGCGGCAACAGCUCAAAUUUGAAAUCUGGCCUCGGCCCGAGUUGUAAUUUGCAGAGGAUGCUUCUGGCGCGGUGCCUUCCGAGUUCCCUGGAACGGGACGCCACAGAGGGUGAGAGCCCCGUAUGGUCGGACACCAAGCCUGUGUGAAGCUCCUUCGACGAGUCGAGUAGUUUGGGAAUGCUGCUCUAAAUGGGAGGUAAAUCUCUUCUAAAGCUAAAUACCGGCCAGAGACCGAUAGCGCACAAGUAGAGUGAUCGAAAGAUGAAAAGCACCUUGAAAAGGGGGUUAAAUAGUACGUGAAAUUGUUGAAAGGGAAGCACUUGUGACCAGACUUGGGUCGGGCGGCUCAUCAGGGGUUCUCCCCUGUGCACUCCGCCCGGCACAGGCCAGCAUCGGUUCUCGUGGGGGGAUAAGACCGCCGGGAACGUAGCACCCUCCGGGGUGUGUUAUAGCCCGGCGGACGAUACCCCCGUGGGGACCGAGGUUCGCGCUCCGCAAGGAUGCUGGCGUAAUGGUCACCAGUGACCCGUCUUGAAACACGGACCAAGGAGUCGUCCAUUAGAGCGAGCGUUUGGGUGUAAAACCCGCACGCGUAAUGAAAGUGAACGCAGGUGAGAGCUUCGGCGCAUCAUCGACCGAUCCUGAUGUUCUCGGAAGGAUUUGAGUAAGAGUUUUAACGGACGGACCCGAAAGACAGUGAACUAUGCUUGUAUAGGGUGAAGCCAGAGGAAACUCUGGUGGAGGCUCGCAGCGGUUCUGACGUGCAAAUCGAUCGUCAAAUAUGAGC